CGGAAAUGCUGUCACUGCCGCUGAGACGCACGUGGAGGUUUGUUAAAGGAAUGUGGCUGCCCCGCCUGCCCUGCCUGCCUCUCGGGUAGCUGGACCUGUGUGAGCACUAAUUGGGAAUGAGUGCCGGUCCACUCAGGCCGCUUUGCUCAUGGGCCACACUCUGAGCGCCGCGAGGCCACUUCUGCCCUGGCCCUGGACCCCAGAGCACCAAGACGAGAUCCUGAGAGGAGGACUGAGGCAGAGCUGAUUCCUGACUUGGGGACCAACACAUGACCACCGCCAGGCUGAUGACCAGUGGGCACCCCACUGGCUCUCCAGAGGGCCUGCAGCCUGCUCUUCCACCAGCACCACCACCACCAUGGGAAGCCUGUUUGCCUGCCUGCUGUGGUGGUGCCAUCCGAGGGACCCAGGCUGGGCUUUCCUGGAGGUCAGUGGGUCCUGGGUCAAGUGGAGAGGAGGGACUGAGAACCCUGCUCACCUUGUGCAGGCAGGGGAAGGAGAGGUGACAGGAGCCUGAGCCUUCAGA